rnacentral:rRNA from 1 species
GACGAACGCUGGCGGCGUGCCUAAUACAUGCAAGUCGAACGCUUUUUCUUUCACCGGAGCUUGCUCCACCGAAAGAAAAAGAGUGGCGAACGGGUGAGUAACACGUGGGUAACCUGCCCAUCAGAAGGGGAUAACACUUGGAAACAGGUGCUAAUACCGUAUAACACUAUUUUCAGCAUGGAAGAAAGUUGAAAGGCGCUUUUGCGUCACUGAUGGAUGGACCCGCGGUGCAUUAGCUAGUUGGUGAGGUGACGGCACACCAAGGCAACGAUGGAUGACCGACCUGAGAGAGUGAUCGGCCACACUGGGACUGAGACACGGCCCAGACUCCUACGGGAGGCAGAAGUAGGGAAUCUUCGGCAAUGGAAGAAAGUUUGACCGAGCAACGCCGCGUGAAUGAAGGAGGUUCUCGGAUCGUAAAACUCUGUUGUUAGAGAAGAACAAGGAUGAGAGUAGAACGUUCAUCCCUUGACGGUAUCUAAUCAGAAAGCCACGGCUAACUACGUGCCAGCCGCCGCCGUAA